GUAGCUUCCAUGGGUUGGUAUCUUUUUACAUGUGUUUUAUUCCAAAUUUUAGUACUAUUAUGGUACCACUCAUGAAUUGUAUGAAGGGUGGAAAAUUCAUGUGGACGAACAAAACAAUCGAGGCAUUUGAACAAAUUAAGGAGAAGUUGACAACCGCUUCUAUACUUGUGAUACCGGAUUUUUCUCAACCUUUUGAGUUAUAUUGUGAUGCCUCUGGAGUUGGCAUUGGGAUCAUUCUCAGUCAGGGGGCAGGCUCGUGGCUUACUUCAACGAGAAAUUGCAUGGGUCCAGACUUAACUAUAGUACCUAUGAUGUGGAAUUUUAUUCUAUAGUUCGGGCCUUGAAGUAUUGGAGCUCUUAUCUAGCUUAUAAUGAGUUCAUCCUCUAUUUAGAUCAUGAGGCAUUGAAGCACCUUCAUAGUCAGGAUAAACUCUCCGCUAGACAUGCACGUUGGGCAUCUUACACUUUACAAUUUUCUUUCACCAUUAAACACAAAUCAGGAGCUGUGAAUAGGGUGGCAGAUGCUUUAAGCAGGAAGGCGCAUUAUUGGUGCAAAUGCAGACUAAGGUAAUUGCUUUUGAUCAGUUCAAAGAUUACUUAUCUGUUGAUCCUUUUUUGGGUCCUAUUUUGAAUGAAUUAGGAUCUCGACCACGAGAUGACUACACUACAUAUCAUGGGUUUCUAUUCAAAGGAAACCAAUUAUUUGUGCCCGAAAGGAGUCUACGCCUAAAGAUUAUUCAAGAAUUACACAAUGAAGGUCAUGUGGGGCAUGAGAAAACGUUGAAGCUUAUCACGGAGUAGUUUUUCUGGCCUCAUAUGCGGAAGGAAGUCGCAAAAUUUGUGGAGGGAUGUAAGAUAUAUCAGGUCUCGAAAGGGAAAGCAACUAAUGCAAGUCUUUAUUUGCCCUUGCCUAUUCCAAACGGACCUUGAACUAGUGUUAGCAUGGAUUUUGUGUUGGGGUUGCCUAGAACACAACACGAAUAUGAUUCUAUUUUUGUGGUGGUAGACAGGUUCUCCAAGAUGGCACACUUCGUGGCUUGUAAGAAGACAUCAGAUGUUGUUUGUGAGGCAUAACUUUAUUUUCAUGAGAUAUAUCGGUUACAUGGAUUGCCGUCGUCCAUUGUGUCUGACAGAGACGCUCGUUUUCUUAGCCACUUCUGGAGAUGUUUGUGGCAUUUGUCUAAUACCAAGCUCGACUUUAGUAGUGCCUAUCAUCCUCAAACCGAUCGAUAAAUCAAAGUUGUAAACCGUUCUUUGGAGACUUGUUACGAUGUCUGGUG
rnacentral:lncRNA from 1 species